GACGAACGCUGGCGGCGUGCUUAACACAUGCAAGUCGAACGGAAAGGCCCUGCUUUUGUGGGGUGCUCGAGUGGCGAACGGGUGAGUAACACGUGAGUAACCUGCCCUUGACUUUGGGAUAACUUCAGGAAACUGGGGCUAAUACCGGAUAGGAGCUCCUGCUGCAUGGUGGGGGUUGGAAAGUUUCGGCGGUUGGGGAUGGACUCGCGGCUUAUCAGCUUGUUGGUGGGGUAGUGGCUUACCAAGGCUUUGACGGGUAGCCGGCCUGAGAGGGUGACCGGCCACAUUGGGACUGAGAUACGGCGCAGACUCCUACGGGAGGCAGCAGUGGGGAAUAUUGCACAAUGGGCGGAAGCCUGAGGCAGCAACGCCGCGUGCGGGAUGACGGCCUUCGGGUUGUAAACCGCUUUCGCAUGUGACGAAGCGUGAGUGACGGUAAUGGGUAAAGAAGCACCGGCUAACUACGUG
rnacentral:rRNA from 1 species